rnacentral:rRNA from 1 species
CCUACGGGGGGCAGCAGUGGGGAAUAUUGCACAAUGGGCGCAAGCCUGAUGCAGCCAUGCCGCGUGUAUGAAGAAGGCCUUCGGGUUGUAAAGUACUUUCAGCGAGGAGGAAGGCGUUAAGGUUAAUAACCUUGGCGAUUGACGUUACUCGCAGAAGAAGCACCGGCUAACUCCGUGCCAGCAGCCGCGGUAAUACGGAGGGUGCAAGCGUUAAUCGGAAUUACUGGGCGUAAAGCGCACGCAGGCGGUCUGUUAAGUCAGAUGUGAAAUCCCCGGGCUCAACCUGGGAACUGCAUUUGAAACUGGCAGGCUUGAGUCUUGUAGAGGGGGGUAGAAUUCCAGGUGUAGCGGUGAAAUGCGUAGAGAUCUGGAGGAAUACCGGUGGCGAAGGCGGCCCCCCGGACAAAGACUGACGCUCAGGUGCGAAAGCGUGGGGAGCAAACAGGAUUAGAUACCCUUGUAGUCCC